rfam:Clostridium hathewayi WAL-18680 genomic scaffold supercont1.1, whole genome shotgun sequence.
GCAGAAGUGGCGGAAUUGGCAGACGCGCACGGUUCAGGUCCGUGUGGUGGUAACACCUUGAGGGUUCGACUCCCUUCUUCUGCA